UCCCUUGUGGCUCAGCUGGUAAAGAAUCCACCUGCAAUGUGGGAGACCUGGGUUCGAUUCCUGGUUGGGAAG
rfam:Ovis aries breed Texel chromosome 4, whole genome shotgun sequence.